ensembl:lncRNA novel transcript
AGGGAGCUGGGGCAGCCUGCUGUGCGGAGCUGGGGGAGGAGGAGGGAGCCCUGGGGGACAGACAGAAGGACCAUCGAAGGAGAAACCCUGCUGGCCUCGGGACCUGGAGGAAAGAACCAGGGCCCGUGCUCCUUGGGCCAGGAUCCGGCGAUUGGACGGAACCUCUCGGAUUCCCCAGUGCUGUGAAAUCCACUUGGGGCCAUCACACCCUUCAUUGCUGUGCUCCCUGGCAGAACUCGAAUGCAGCGUGAGCUGGGCACUUUUCCCAGGGUUUGCUCUAGGUCUGGGUCUCCCAUCAGCUCCCCCGGAGCAGAGCCUGAGGGUGUCUGUACAUGCUUGUCCCCUCCCCACGGUGGCGUGCUCAAUGGUGGCUCCCCACAGAUAUGUCCGUGUCCUAAUUCCCGGAGCCUUUGGGUCUCAUGUAGCCAAUGAUGUGAAAAAGUGAAGGAUGCUGAGAGGAGAUCAUCCAGAUGUCUUAGAGGAUAAAAAUGAGCGGGCAGAUGAAGAGAUACUCAGGGUGAGGUUUGGAAGGUGCACCAGGCCCACCCCAUGGAUGUGGCUCAGAGAGCCUGGGAAACGUGAGGUCUGUGACCUGGAUCAGGCCCAGAGAGACCUGAGCAGGAGGCGUGUGAAGCCCCUGCGCCUGUGCGAGGAGGGAAGCUGUUUCAGGGAAUUUGCCUUUCUUUCCCUGUAGUUUCAGACUAGCUGAUAAAUUACCUAAAAUGUUA